CUCCUCGUGAAACCACAUGAAACAGGCGGCAACCAACCAACGAGAGCCGCAAGGGAAGUGAAAUUCAGUCUGAGAAGCAAUGAGGGUGUUUGAAUAUGGACUAGUUGUGCAGAGGAGAAAGGAUCUAACCAAAAACCAGUAUAGGAUUUCCUAUACAUUCACGCUAGUUCUCUUGGUAAGCUUAUCAACGUUUUUAAUCACAGAGGAAUUUGAACUGAGACUAUCCAUUCCAAAGCUUUCAGCCCUAAGCACCGCAGGACACCAGUCAUUAAUGCACAAACUUUCCCAUGAGAAAACCUGCAAUGUUUCCCUUGGUCUUGACUCUGCCUUGAAUGGAAUAGGUCAAGAAGAAAACAGGUAAUGAAAGCACAUGGAUGGCACAUAGGGUAGAGCCACCAGUCGGAACACUCAAAACCAGCCAGAUCUACACUUGUGUCAAAUCAUUACGAAUGUGGAAUAAAAAACAGGAUAUAACACUAUGAAUGUGGAUUGUGCCCCAACAGUUAUCAGUGCACUUCAAUAUCGCUAUAAAGCGGUAUAGAUCUAGCCACCUUCCCAACUGUGAGUUCAGGAAUUGCGUUAACAAUAGCUACUAGGCCUCAUCUACACCAAGCAGGAUAUUGCGCUAUGAAAGUGGUAUGAAAGUGGUAUAUAAAAAAGGCAGGAGCCAUGUUACUGCUUUAUAGCGCUAUUGAAGUGCACUGACAAUUGUUGGA